rnacentral:rRNA from 1 species
GACGAACCGGGCGAACGUUAUUCGGAAUCACUGGGCUUAAAGCGCGUGUAGGCGGCCCGGCACGUCCGUCGCUGAAAUCCCCCGGCUCAACCGGGGAAGUGGCGUGGAUACGACCGGGCUGGAGGGGGGUAGGGGGAGCCGGAACUUCCGGUGGAGCGGUGAAAUGCGUUGAGAUCGGAAGGAACGCCCGUGGCGAAAGCGGGCUCCUGGACCCCACCUGACGCUGAGACGCGAAAGCCAUGGGAGCGAACGGG